ensembl:lncRNA
AGUAGGUUUUGCAUAGCUUUAGGCACAAGGGUAAAUUUCAUGCAGUCUGACUGUCCUCCAACUCAGCUUUGUCCCUGGAUCAUUCCUGUGCACAAGCAGAAGUGAUUUCUCUUCAUGCCUUUAUGAGAAUCCUUCCUGCUAAUACCAUUGCCUGCCUCACAGAUCUACUACUUAAAAGUGUGCUCCCUGAGAAUAUUUCUACACCACUAUGAAGUCUAGCAGAAUUUACUGAGAACUUUUAUGAUGAAGGGAUUUCUACCAUCCCAGCUGUUCUCUGAUUUCUACUGGAAGAGGGAUUA